CUCACCUCUGCCCUCGCGCCCCGGCGCAGGCCUCGCCCAGCCUCACGCCCUUUGCGCAGCCGCGCACCGAGAGCGUCCGUAACGUCGCUAAUUCCCGCGUGGAGGCCGCAAAGGGCGUGGGUGGCCUGCUGCCCUUAAUGAAACCUUAUGCGGACACCAGCGUAGGGAAAAGAGCAGUAGAAAACGAAGACCGCGACGACAGGGGUCAGCAAAGGGGAAACAUUUGGCUGAUCACCUAGAAUCAGAAUAGGAGAAGAAAGAUAAACGCAGGUGGUUGUGUGGGAAGCCCGGGUUUGAGUGACAGGAUUUCCAGAAGAAAAGGCGCUGGCCUGGGGGCCUCAGAACCGAGGCUCACUGGGAGGAGGACGCUGGGAGCAGCGCCCCGAAGUUCCCUGGAAAGAGCCUGGUGGGGAAGGGCCAGGCGCCAAGGAGGGCAGAGGCCGGCGGGGUGCGCAGCCUUUGCUGUGCUGUCCGGAGAAAUGGGUGUGAAGAUAUCGUCUACUUAUGAGGGUGACAUAAAAGUGUUACCUUUGAUUUCUUCAAGAAAUGAAGCAUUUCCUUCCGUGGGCGGGCGUAGUUUCUUCAAUAGAGUUGCAUAGUGUUCAUGGUUGUCGCUCCCCGUCUUCGUGGAGGAACGACACAGGACCCUGCGCUGUUCUUUUGUCUGCUCGGCCCUCCCCGGGUUUGCUGCUGGUUCUUCCCGGAUUGGCUACCGACCCUUCCACCUCCGUGGAAGGGCGGUUCCCCCUGCCGCUUUCCCCACUUCCGCGGGGGAGCGGCACACCGCUGGCCGGCUCUCUUGGGGGCUGCACAGGUUUUCCUUCAGAUAGAUGUUCCUGGUGCAUGUUGUCUCUCUCCUCCUUUAUAGUCCUCUUCCACCAAUCCCAACUCUGCUACCCACACGCCGAGUACGCUGCUCUCCUCCAAUCAGGAGCAGGUCCUACAGUUUAUUGGUUGAACUGGAGGCAGCUGUGUAGAAGCUGUUUCCUCCUCUCCCAGCGCCAUAUUGUGGGAGAGCAGAUGCAUAGAAUAAGUCUUAAUUCCAGUAACUUGGUCUAGUCCGAGUUGCUCCCAGUUGCUCCCCACACAUGGUAAAGAAAGACAUUUAAAAAUGUUCAAAUUGGAGUAUUUCCUACUUGGAUUUUCAUAUUUUUAAAGAUUUAUUAAUUUAUUUCAAAGAGCAAUGGAAUGAAAAGGAGAGACAGAGAAAAACCUUCAACUGUUGCUUCAUUCCCCAAUGCCACAGUAGCCGUGCUGGGUCAGGCCACAGCCAGGCACCAGGAACUCUACCCAGAUUUCUCACUUAGAUGGCGAUUGUCCGCUCUUUUCCCAGAGACCUUAGCAGGGAGCUGGAUUAGAAGUUGUGCAGCUGGGACUCAACUGGCUCUUUGGGACCGGAUAUCUGCAUGGUAAGCAGCAGCUUAACCCAUUGUUUUCUGAGAUGUUCAUCAGCAUCUGCAUUUUCACAGUCUGCUGUGUUGUCUUAGACAUGUGUAUAACUUGUCAUGUUGUCAGUGGACCAAUCUAUUUGUGUAUAUAAGUGUUCCCCAAAAGAUUCCAAUUUUUAUAAUUAUACAUGUUUCAAGAGACAUCGUAUCCAUGCAUGUUUUGUAUGUCCAUUAUUAAUUGUGGAAGUAUCUCCAGGUUGUAUUCCUGUAAAGGGAAUUGCUGGACAAAAGUCUUUAUACUUGUGUGAUUAUGUUGUUUCUGCCCUGUCAUCUGGCAAAGAUUUUACGAUUCACAUUCCUUGCCAUUGAUGAGAAUAUUCUACUCGCCAUCCUCUUGCUGAAACUGGGCAGUCCUGUGCCUACCACUUCCUUUUGCCCUUAUUUAAUCCCUGGUUGUGAGAUUUCCUCGAAUCAAGUUUCACUCAGUUGGUCUGGAAAAGCUGCAGUCAGUAUGGUUUUCUCUGUUCUCUUGUAUUUGGUGACUGUUCCAUUUUCUCAGAUAAUCUGAGCCGAUAGCAGUGAAAACACAUCACUCUUGCUUGGUGGACACCACCGCAUGUUGGGUUCCCGCAAUGUUCUGGUAUCUUGGGUGAGGACUGGUUCACAGGAGAGUCUGAGGAAAGGUCGGUGGCUCAAACCCCGUGAUGAUGUUUUAGUCUUCAGAAGACUUUGUUGUCACCUAAGUUGUUUUUGUGGCUUCUGAUCCUGGAGCUGCUCUGUCUUUCAGGCAGGGAGCGCCCCCUGUCGUCCUCAGGUCCUCCCAGUCUCCUCGGUAUGUGGGUGCUGCUGGGUGGCUGUGAGGUUCAGUGACUGCACAUUUUCACCCCUGAUAUGGUCAGUGAUUUCUCCCUGUCCUUUCCAGAUGUCCCUGGUCUCCCUGCACACUACUGGGUGAGACUUCUUUGAGCCAACUAAUACACCAUCUGGAGUCUGGGGGGUAUUCCUAGGGCUUGCAGAUGAAGGCACAUGCAGCCAGUUUACUAACUGCUCUCACUCCAGGUCGGUGCAUCUCAAUAUGCCAUAUUAAACAUACAGCCACAGAAUGCCACCAACAUUUUGAUUUGGAGCAGUUGCAUCCUGACUUUAAAAAAUUAACAGACAUUAUUGUAUAGGGCAGUUAUAGAUUUACAGAUAAACUCAGCAGACAGUACAGAAGGUUCCCACAUUUCCCUCGUUGCCUCCCACACUUUCCCUUUGUAUUACUGUGGUACAUUUUUAUAAUUGAUAAGCCAGUAUUCAUAUAUUAAUAUUAACUAAGCAUCAUAGUUUACAUUAUAGUUAAUUCCUCGUGUUGAGGUUUUAUAGUCUUAUACAUUAUAGUUCAUUCCUUCGUGGGGUUUUACAAAUGCAUGUCAUGAAUCCCCAUCUCAAUAUCUAGAGUGGUUUCAUCAUAAAGAAUACCUGUCUUUCACUGUUUAUCCCUUCUGUCCCCCUCCACCCUAGGUGACCACUGAUAUUUUUACUGUCUCUUUAGUUUUGACUUUUUCUACAAUGUCCUAUAGCAGAUAGCUGCAGUCAUACAGUAUAUAGAUUUUCAGAGCUAUCUAACUAUUUUUUUUAAAGACUUAUUAUUUAUUUGAAAGAGUUACACAGAGAGAGGAGAGGCAGUAAGAGAGAGAGAGAGAGAGUGAGCUUCCAUCAUUGGUUCACUCUCCAGUUGGCUGCAGUGGCCAGAGCUGCACUCAUCUGAAGCCAGGAGCCAGGAGUUUCCUCCAUGUCUUUCUACAUGGGUGCAGGGGCCCAAAGACUUGGGCCAUCUUGUACUGCUUUCCCAGGCACAUUAGCAGAGAACUGGAUUGGAAGUGGAGCAGCCGGGACUUGAAUUGGCAUUCAUAUGGGAUGGCGGCACUAAAGGUGGCCCCUUAGCUGCUUCACCACAGCACUGGCCCCUCAUAUUAACUAUUUAAAAUUCUUGGGGCUGGUGCUGUGGUGUGCAGGAAAAGCUGUCACUUGCAGUGCUGGCAUCCCUUAUGGGCUUCAGUUUGGGUCGUGGCUGCUCCACUUCCAAUCCAGCUCCUUACUUAUCCCUAGGAAAGCAGUGGAAGAUGGCUCAAAUGCUUGGGCCCCUGCACCCAUGUGGGAGACCCCGCUGAAGCUCUUGGCUUUGGCUUGACCCAUUCUUGGCUGUUGCAGCCACCAUGUGGGGACUGAACUAGCAGUUGGAAGACACACACCUCCUCACCCCCGUCUCUGCCUCUUUCUCGCUUUAACUCUGUCUUUCAAAUAAAUAAAUAAAUCUUUAAAAUUAAAAAUAAACUAAAAUUCCUUAGUGCUUUUUCAUGGCUUGCUAGCCUACUUCUUUUUAUUUCUGAAUAUUAUUCCAUGGCAUUGAACAUACCACAAUAUAUUUUAUCUUUCACUUAAUGAAGAAUAUCUUGGUUACAUACAGUUCUUGACAACUUGAAUAAACCUGCUAUAAAUACUCAUGCAAGUUUUUAAAAUGUACUUAAGGUUUCAUACAUUUGCAUAAAUAUCUAGGACAGCAAUGGCUUUGUCAUGUGAUAAGACUCUCUUUAACUGUGAGAAACUUCCAAAGUGUCAACUAUCAUGGCUGUAUGAUUUCACAUUUCCAACAAUAGUGAGAGAAAGUUGUUGUUGUUUUUCAAUCUUUAAAAUUUGAUUUAGUUAUACAAGUUUCAUGUAUUUCAUAUAUACAGAUUUAGAAACAUAGUGAGAUUUUCCACCCUCCCUUCCCUCUCCACGCUCCAACCUUUCUUCCUCCUCCCUCUCCCACUCCCACUCUGAAUUUUUACAAAGAUCUACUUUCAGUUUACUUAAUGAUCAUAAAAUUAACUAUACACUAAGUAAAAGAGUUUGAGAAAUAGCAUGAAGCAAAAAAUCCACUGUCCUUCAAAAGAAGAGACAAGGGCAGUAAACAAUCAUUAAAUCUCAGAAUGUCCAUUUUACUCCAAUACAUUACAUUUUACAUACUCUAAUAGUUACCUCGGAGCACGGAAAACAUAUGGUAUCUGUCUUUUUGGGACUGGCUUAUUUCACUAAGUAAAAUGGUUUUUAGUUGUGUCCAUUUUGUUGCAAAAGACAGGAUUUCAUUUUUUUUACAGCUGAAUAAUACUCCAUAGUGUGUGUGUGUGUGUGUGUGUAUGUUAUAUAAUUUCUUCAUCCAGUCAACAGUUGAUGGAUAUCUGGAUUGAUCAUCAUGCACAGGGGACAGAUCACAGAGAGAGUGUGGACACGAGCGGAUACUGCUGACUGUCUUUCUGUUAUCAGAGCCGAGGCUGCAUUCUCCUCGAGGGAUGAGGAACCCUCCCCAGGUACAGGGAGUGCCCCGAAGUUCCGGCCAAGGAUAUGGGGGACCUCAUGUCAUCAGUCGCCACUUCGAUGUCCUAAGUGCCCUGAAGCACAAGUUUACCAAAGGAAAACCACAGGCCAGCAGGGGGAAACUCGCAUGCAAAUUCCCUGGCAUGAGUAUUAUGAAAGGAAAGGAAAACCACACUCCAGCAAGUGGAAACCCGCAUGCAGAUUCUCUGGCCAGCAGGUUGAGACAAGCCAGAGCCCAGCACGUGGGAACUGGCAUGCAGAUUCCCCGGCCAACAGAAUAUCAAGAAUACUGCAGUCAAGCCUGGAGGGAAACUCAUGCUGGAUACUGCAGCCUUCAAGGCUAGGAUGGAGAGAUGCCACUGCUGCUGGAAGCGUAGAAAGAUAGCGCCGAUUUAUGUAAGAAAAAGUAGCUCAAACCGCAGCUCGGGGUAAAUCCCAGACAGAGCACGGAGAGAGGACUUUGACCACCAUGAACCACUCUUGAUGGUUUCCACCACGGGAGGCUGGGGGAUGAGAGCUGUGACUGUCUUUCAGCCUCUGACUGGGUAAACACCCACAGAGACCAAGGCCUGAAUGCAGAGACAUUACAGAGAGACUCACCUUGCCCUGUCACCUGCCACCUGCAGAGACCCGGGGACUGAGGAGCAGGAAGAGACCGCGGAUGAACCCAGAUGCCCAAGGCCACGGGCGGGCUGUGCUAGAUGUGGGCGGUCUGCCACUAGCGCUCCUGCUGAUGAGGGUCAGCCUGGGUGUAACCCUCGGGAUGAUCUGCCUCCUGCACGGGCGCUCCACUGAGCCGGACAGCUGACCCGACUCCUCCCACGGUCAGUGUUCCCACAGAUAAGACAACAUUGAGAAGGAGACAUUUGGGGUAAAGGUGAUUAAAAGGAUCUGCUUCUUUGCUGCUUUUGAGCUGCAAACAUCUCAUGUUUUGUGGUCUGUUUGGUGGUGCAUGCUGACUGGUCUGGGGAUGCUGGGCGGGGUCUGGCUCAGUGGCCUGUGUGCUGAAGUUACCUGGUGAUUGCCUCAUGUUGAGGUUCAGCUGCUCCACUGAGCCACGCAGGGCCUGCUGGGUGCUUCCUGCCGCGUGCCCUCUGCAGGCCAAGGACGUCCUGUGUGCCUGCCAGUCUCCCUGGCUUUAGGGUGGGUCAGCUGUAGAUGAGCUGCCUGCUGGAUCUGUCCAUUGUGGAGGCGCGUUGUUCUCUCUGAUUAUUAAGAACUCCGGAGCAGGUGGUGCCCCAGAGCUGUAGCGGGAAGUGAGUGGGCAGUGGCUCUCCCUGAGUUCCUGGCUGCUCCCCAGGAGGCCGAGUCCUGGCCUGCGGUGGGGAUAUGGAAAAACAGGGUUUGAUGGGAGCAGUUCCGGGACGUGGGUGUGGAUGGGUAGGAUGAGACCAAGUUGAUGGAUGAGGAGGACAGCAGUGACGGCCGUGUGGGGCUCCAGGAGAGCAGGCGAGGUGCACUCCUGCCUGAGGACAGGACACAGGACAGCUGCUCUCCAGGCGGCCCUGAACAUCCCCGAAACAGUGUCCAUGGGCAUUGGGAGGGGCAAUUGCAAAGUGGAAAGGAGCACUGUUCUGGGUUGGGGGCAGGAACUUGACCUGGGGUGGGAGCCUAAAACCCGGAACGCGCAAUUGGGCCUGACCCCACGUGGUCCAAGCUCGUUCUCCCCUUCAGGAGCCUGAGACAGCAGUGCCUCCUGCGCCUGUGGAUGAAGGGUCCCUGAGUCCUGAGUGUCCCUGGGAAAGGUGUGGAUAGGAGUCCUGGGAGGAGCGGGGGCCCAUGAAGGCCUCGGCGUCCUGGGCUGAGCAGAGCUGCCUGUGUUGGUGUCUAUGUGUCAGGUGAGAGCUCUGUGCUGAACCGGCCCUCCGCCCAGUCUCAGGGACCAAGUCCUGGAGUCCAAGCUCAGCCCCCUUCUCAGGCUGCCGCUUGCAAACCAAACUCCUCUGGCUCGGGAGCUCUGGGCGUGUCCAGCAAGCCCAGCCCAGAGCCAGAGAGACCCUCCGAGCAUCCGAGCAUCAAUCCCAAGGUGCUGGGGGCUCGGUGUCUGCUCCCGUCCCGCCGCGUCCUGGUUUAGGGGAGAGGACAGCUCUGGCCGCGGGCUACGGGCCGCUCUGGUCCCCGGGUCCCUGCUGCCUCCUCACCUGGGACCUCACAGCCGUGACCCUCGCCCCCUUUCCUGCCCUCAGCCCCAGGAUUCCAGGUUUCUAGAGCAGUCGCAGCCGCAGCCGCAGCCGCAUCACGGAAGUCGCCCGAAAUGUGAUCACCGAGCUGUGGGUCCCUGUCCGCGGCGAGUCCCCUGGCCUGUGCGGCUGCGCCAGUCCGUGGUGUCCGAGGUUCCGGGUCCGCGGCCGGGGCCCUGCGACCCACAAGUCACUCCACACCCCCACCCCCAUCCCAUCUGCCCUCACUGACCCCCGGGGUGUUAAGUCACCUCUAAAAAGACCCCCGCCAUGGGUACCAGACCUCGACUUUCCUCUCCCGGACCUCUUGUCCCCGGCGGUGCCCGGAGUCUGCGGACUGCACCGCACCCAUGGAGAACCGCGCUGCGCCACGCGCCCCUUCCCUCUCGUCCCCUUCCCAGUCUCUGGGUGUUGGCCCUUCCCGGGGGGUCCAACGCCAUAAAACACUCGCUUUCCCCUAGGUCUCGUUCUGGAGGUGCAGGGAAGGUGGCUGAGGAGGGAGGGACGGGGAGGGGCAGGGGGAGGAGGACACCUGGUUUUGGGGGACACUUCAGACGCCCUUCCCCGUGCGUCCAGGGAGACUGAAACCCUCACUGCUGUCCUUACGGAGCGCCUUGAUGCACUUGUUUGGACUUAGUUCUUAGGGGACUUCUUGUCAUUGUUGCGGGGAUGAUGGGGAGGAGAGGAUUUUGCGUUCUUACAGUGUGUCCAGGACCCACCUCUCUCAAGGCUCUUUCCCCCCACCCUGAAUCCCUCACCUACUGCAUGCACGCACCCAGGAACCGGCACGGUGCUCCUGUCCUCACUGGUACUGACCGGCAGCCAGCAUUUUCGCCUUUCUUUCUUGGAACUCUCCAUCUUUGGUCAAUGUCUGCCUAGUCCUGCUCAUGGAGAUGUCUGUAUCCAACCCCCCCCCCCUUUGACCCCACAAGGAGCAGCAUGCAACCCGAGGUGGGGCAGCCAGAUCAAGUCUGGGAGCCAUGCCAAUGGUUGUGUGCCCUGUGCUGACACUGUAGACACAGGUGAUAAAACUGUUUUCAGAUAAAUAAAACAAAUAGAGUUUUUAAAAAUAUAAAAAACUUUGCUGUGUAAAAAUAUAAAAAUGCCACAGUGUUAUUCACUGAUUCUUUUCCCAUUAUUUUCAAGUUCAUU